GAGGCGGGAAGCGCUAAUUUAGCAGAAUUUUCACAGGACCGAGAGAGAGAGAAAAUCAAAUGCAAUCGAAAAUUAGCAGCUUCUUCAAGCCCUCUUCUUCUACUGCAGACCCAUCCCAAUGUUGCAGUGAUAUGUUUGAUUAUGGGAGGUUACAGCCAGAAAUUGUUGUUACUUACCAGCGCAGACCUCAAAAUUCAUUUGGUGAAAUCGAUGGUGCAUCAACUGAUGAAGCAUCCAAGGAAAUAGACUUGGAGAAAUUUGUGCCAGACCUGGGGGUGGCAAAGUCUGGGAAAGUUUUGAAUAAGAAGAGAAAGUACGCCCAAUUUUAUUUGGAACUGGGCCAGUCUGAUUUUUUAUUGCAUACUUGUACCGUCUGUGGCUUCAAGUAUGCCAGAGGAGAUGAAGGGGAUGAAAAGUUUCAUAAGACAUUUCACAAGAAUUAUACGCAUGGUAUUCCAUUUAAGGGUUGGCGGAAUGAAAGAGUUCUUCAAAUUCCUCCACUUGAAAUUGGCCGAAUUAUUUUGGUGCUGGACGAUGACCCUCCUCUUCAGAGAAACAAGGUACAGGAAGUUGUGAAGAUGAUGGAGAUGGAACUUGGAGAUGGGUGGAUAUAUCAUCAGCUAUGCAAGGUUUAUCUGUUUAUAUCUUCUCAAAGAAUAUCUGGAUGUCUGGUAACAGAGCCCAUAAAGAAGGCGUAUAAGAUUCUCUCAAAAUCAGAAAGCAGCAGGUGUAAGGUUUCACCUGAGAAGGAAGCAAGACGGACUUCAACCACACUCCAAUUUGGGGGAGUGAGUUUCCAAAGGGAAAUUGUAAGAAUAAAUCAAUCAACCAAAAGCCAUGAAGAGUCUGAUAGUGGAGUAAUCUUGUGUGAGAAGGAAGCUGUAUCUGCUUUAUGUGGCAUUAGAGCCAUUUGGGUCAGUCCCUCCAACAGAAGAAAACAUAUUGCCAGCUAUUUGCUGGAUGCUGCUAGAAACAGAAUGGUGUAGUACUUUCUUCUGCUCAAGUACAUGAUCGAGUCGCUUGAUUGGUGCUUCUCAAGAUGAAGAGCUGUCCUCCAGCUUCGUAAAGUUUACCAGAGACUUCUACUCUCCCGGUACAAUUGCAGUUUCAGACAUAAUGCCUCUAGUUUUUCCAUGCAAUAAUUAUCUUGAUAAGGAAAUUGUUCUGAGGAAUAUAGCUGAGUGCUAUCAAGGAGGUUUAGAGAUGAUUAAGAAGGUUUUGCCCACUGCUUCCUUUAUUCAACGUGCAACAUUUUCAAAUUCAUGCUAUUACAAAGGUGUUCAUGGUGAUCAAGUGGCUGUUACGGGCAAGGAUUAUGCUUUACUCAAGCCUACUGAAGAACAGUGGAUACAAAUGCAAACGUCCUUAGAUAUCAGUUUCAAAGGAGUUCUGGGAUUCUUGGGGAACCUUUUGCAAGAAUUUAGUUCUUAAACGCUCAGAGUUGGCCUAUUCUCAGCCA